rnacentral:rRNA from 1 species
GAUGAACGCUGGCGGCGUGCCUAAUACAUGCAAGUCGAACGGGAAAUGUAGCAAUACGUUUCUAGUGGCGAACGGGUGAGUAACGCGUUGGUGACCUGCCCCUAAGCGGGGGAUAACAGCUCGAAAGGGCUGCUAAUACCCCAUAAUUUCACCGGGAUUAGAAUCCGGUGAGGAAAGGAGUAAUCCGCUUUGGGAGGGGCCUGCGUCCCAUCAGCUAGUUGGUAAGGUAAUGGCUUACCAAGGCUAUGACGGGUAGGGGACCUGAGAGGGUGACCCCCCACAAUGGAACUGAAACACGGUCCAUACACCUACGGGAGCAG